CCGUCCGAUCUUUCGUCCCGCCGCUUGCUCCCUCCUCCCCGUCCGAUCCCCUCCCUCUCCAACACUGCUCACCCGCGCCGCCUGUCACCGCGCGCUCCGCCCUGCAUCGCACGCCCGAGCGCUCCGCCCUGCACGGUUGCACCGUUCUCUCCCUCAGCCCCGCAACCUAGGUCGUCUUCUCCACCUCCGUUUUGGGUCGCCGGAGGCCGCCGGGGUCCGGAUCCACCCUCUCCCUCGCCGGAUCUACGCCUCCCUUGCCGGAUCUGCCUCGACGCAGUGUUCCUCCGUCUGGGCGACAUGGAGCCGCCCUCCCCUUUCCGGCGGCGCUGGUGCGUCCUCCUUCCCAUCGUCGGCAGCCCCGUCGCUCGGUGCCGCGUGGAGCGUCUGGCGGCCCGCCGUCCCGUCGCACAGACAUGGCGUCCUCCCGUAUCGAGCUGCGGCGUGGUCGCGCGGAGCGACAGCUCGCCGGUCUUCCCAUCAUCCACGACUUCUACAGCUUCUCCAAGCCCAUGUACCAGUGCAUGCGGCCGCCUCCCCCAUGCCAGCCUCCUCGGCGCGCGCCCUGAGUGCCGCGCAGCACUUUGGGUCAACGACGCACAGAGCGGCACCCGUGCUGUCCCCGUUGUGUGGUGCCGUGCCGUCCGACCUGUCCCCACUGUGCGGGAUGCUACCGCGACCACCUGAGAUGUGUCCCACCUCGCCGCCAUCCCUGCGGGCUCGGAGUGCCACCCAGCUCGCCUCGAGUCAUCGCUGUGCGAAGCGCGGCCCAGCUGUGCACGGAGCAGAAGAGAGGGCUAAGUGAAGGAGGAGAAGAUAGCGACGGCGGCAAUCUUCAUCAACUCGUGUGAUCAACACCGUGAAGGCCUCAUGGGUGGUGUCCUCUAGCGAUGGAGGCAGGGCUAUAUGGUGCCUGUAGUUUUAGUUUGGCGCUGGCGUGAUAGAGCCACUGGUGAUGGUGAAGCUGCUGCAGCCCAUGUACCACUUCGAGAGAUGCCAAGAUGAGAUUGCGAGUACUUCAUCUCCCUCUUAAUCCUCUUGAUGGUAAGUGUGCUUAUGCAGUACCUAAAUCAAUGAAGCUAGACUAAAAUGUGAGUAUAUCUGAAUCAGUUAAAUUUUGCCUUUUUGUUUUAGAAUAAGAGACUUAGCCUGCAUCUAUUAAUUCAAAUCUACCAUGUGGAAAUGUGCAUCAUAGAUAACAAUUAGCCAUCAUCAAUGAUGUUCAGUGAUGCUGUAACAGCGAUGUUUCUAUCAAGAAACUGCAUUUCUUGUGGUUCUGUUGAUGUUUGAAUAAAACUGAAUUAAAUAGACACCAUGAGCCUGUGUUCAGGUGAUCAAUAUAGCAACAUUAAUCUUGCAACGAACUAAAGUUCAGACUUUUCAGUUUGUCAUAGUUUAGCCUUUUGCAUAGGAUCUGUCUUUAACUCAAAAUGAGAAAGAAUUAGAAUAAACUGCCAUAUUUAAAAUCUGUUCCAAAUUUCAGUUAAAAGCCGACUCAAGUUUUAUGUAUAAUCUGAGAAUAAAAGUCUGAUCUAAGGGAUGCAUGAAUUUUUUUAAUCUCAUACUACUGUUUGAAGUUAAAGUGUAAUUAAUUUACAAGGCAAGGUCAUAAUGUUUCAUAGAACCCCACCCCAAUUUAGUUAAAGCGCCUUGGCCACCCGAAUUGAUAUGCUUUGCUUGUGGAUCAAUUCUGUUGACCAGGAUGUGACUUUAUGAAAUUCGUUGACCAUAAAACACUGGGAUUAAGUUCUACUAGCUAAAAGACUGGAGUUUUUCUUCAACACCAAAUAUGAAACCUGUGGUUUACUGAUUUACUCCAUUUUUCACUUUGUGCCUCUAUACUUGAACUAAUAAUUUUCUUUUAUCAUCCACGGGAUAUGGACUCUAUUGCUGAAACAAUGAUGCAGCAACUUUUGUCCAAGGAAAUUCUUCAUAAGCCUAUGAAAGACAUUGUGCAAAAAUAUCGAAAAUGGCUGGAGGGUAAGAAAGAUGAAAUAAGUAAAUAAGAAUAUGAGCGUAACAACAAUCAACUCGAACUCAUGGUGAAUCUUAUUGAGGUGUAUAAAAAUGAGACUGGAAACAUGACCCAGUGAUUUUGUUCAAGAUGCAUGUUGUACCUGAUAUGGACCUGAGCAAGUUGGGACAACCGUGAGUACCACAAAGUCUGCAAUUAUUAGGACACCAUCCAGGUGAAUCCUUCAGUUAUAAAUAUUGUACCUACUAGGAAUGAUUGCCAUACCGUGCAAUUAACCUCCUAAUAUUGAUAUCUUUGUGCAGUAUUUUUAUCAAAGAUAGGGUAAAUAAUUGUGCCAUUUGUAUAAACCAUUAGACAAGAGAAUUUGAUCCAUGUCACAAGAUAUAUCUAUUUAUAAGAAAAAUCUUUUUCUUUAUGGAUUUUUAAGCAGAUCAUGCUAUUUGGGAUUCCGAUUACCAUGAAAGAACUGGUGACUGGUCAUGUAUGAAAACUUGAAUGCUUGAGCAGGGAGGAUCCUUCAGGUUUUCCCUCACUGUCCAAGAUUAACCGUAGGGGCUUGAGGAGGAAGAGGAGGUUUGAGGUGUUGGAUGAUAAAGGGCUAAUUGUGGUAGCUAUCAUUCUACCAGAAACUAAAUUUGAGCUUGUCGUUAUGGGUGCUAUAUUGUAGCAAAGAAACUUUAGGGUUACUUUAGUGGUAAACGAUGAUGGUAGCUUGGAGAUUUCAUCCAUGUGAGAACAGUCAUCAAGCACAGAAAGUAAACCUGCUGAAAUAAAAUAACCUUCAAUUCCUUGGAUUA